CCGAUCAAAAAGAAACGGCGAUACGUGCGGCUCUGCGACAGAGUUUCCUUACUGCGGUGCUCAGCCGCGCGCACACGCCCACACACGCAAGCACGCGUUGCCCCGUGGACGCAGUCGUGGAGCUCGCCUUCUCCACAUCGUCCUCCUUUAUCGACGUCGCCCAAAGUCACCGGCUCACCGCUGGUAUAAUCCGCUCGUUGCCGCCACAAAAAAAAAGCAGUGUAUCCGUGUCUGCCGUGCACUUGUGGCGGGCACAGCGAACUGGACAUUCAAAUUUAGGAUAGAAGGCCAAAGCCCCUCCCAUAGACGCCAGCACCUCUGGUGCUGCUAGAGUACACGUGCACAGGCAUAUACACACGCCGUUCCCUUGCCCGUGAUUGGUGCUCCCCCGCCCCAUAUCUUCUCUUGCUGCUGUUGUUCCUCGCGUGUUGCGUCAUCACGCACCUCAUAGAAGUUACCUGUACGAGUGGUCCCACCCACACCCGCGCCCCGCCACGGCGGAUAGGCACCCGCAUUGAGCGCUGCCGUUGUUCUCUUGUUUUGCCUGUCUCUCCGUAUCUUCUUUUUCUUUCCCAUUCGACUGUUGGAGGAAGGAGGCUCGGCUUUUCGUUGUGUUCGUUGGUUGCUGCGAAGUUCACUUGUUGCCGUGUGUGUGGGAGGUGGGGGGGGGGGGGGGGGCUCUGUCUCUGCGGCCGCCUGGGCUGCCCUGCGCUGUUCUCUCCCUCGAGGAGACGGUACGGACAGACAAGCCAUAUGCUGAGACGCACCUUUUUUAGGAGCUCCCGUCUGGGCCCGAUGUGGCCGCCAGGUGUGGAGGGGCCUGGAAAGCUGAGUAGCAGCGUACUGCACACGAUGGGCUGCGCGAAGUGUGAUGGCUGCGCGGUUCGACGUGUCGAUGUACUUUUCUCGUCACCCCCCAUCGCUGCAUCCUCCAUCUCUGCGGCGGCGGUGGCGGCGGAUAGUGUAUCGCGCGCAUGGCGGCGGAGCUGUGGCACGGUGUCUUUAGCGCGCACGUGUGCCGUCGCAUGUCAGCGCCGUGCCAUCAGCUUCUCCUACGGCGACCGUGUUCCCUGUAUCCGCUUUAACAUGAGUACGGAGCGGCUGGCACGCGCCACGGCGCAGCCGACCCUGCCAACCAACGCAAACAUCUUCAUGAUGGAUGUUCGCAAGGGCCAGCGCAAGUCGAAGCGGGUGAACCCCAAGUCCACGAUGGCCUCCAUCAUAACCGCCCACCGCGCCGAGGCGCAGAAGGCGAAGGAGGAGCUCGACAAGGACGACGCCUACACCCCGCCGCUGAUUUUUCUCUUCAGGACGGACGACACGAAGAAGCAAGCGGCGCGGCGGCAGGAGCAGAUCGAUGCCCAACUUGACGCGCUCGGCGCCUUCGGUGAAUUCCGAGCGUGUGUGCUAGAUGGCAUCAAGUCCCGCCACUGGACGCGCUACAUCGACUCGCCAACUACGCCAGACAGACCCGCUCCUGACAAGGCUGAGAGCGCCUCAUCGAGAGAUGCGCCGCCUACCGCGUCUGUGGCCGCGGCGGCUGCAGCAGCUGUCGACCCCGCGGUCGUGUCCGCCAAUGGUGCCGGUGAUGCGCCGGCGAGCCCUCUUCCGAUUUCAGGGGACUUUGCUGGAAGAGAAGGCAAAAGCAGCACUGGUGCAGCGGAAGCGCCGGCUGCUGCUGUGUCUCCGCGUGUGUCGGCAGCCGGUGCAGCGGAGGGCGCCACGGGUGCUGCCAAAGAGGCUGACGACUUGGAGGGCGAGGAUGAAGAAGUAUGGGAAGAGGUCGAGGUCGAGCUCGACGAGGGUGAGGAGGUCGUCGAAGGGGGCGACGGCGGUGGCGACGGCACAAACAGCGCUGCUGAUGGCAAUGGCGCCGGCGCCUCCCAGUGCUGGGAAGCAGCCACUUACGUAGAUCGAGCGGCAACGCCGUCCAUGCGGGCGAAAGAGGCCCGCACGACGACGCCGGCGGAUGAGAAGAUCAUCACAGCACCAUCGACAGCAAAGAGGAGCGUUAAUACAGUUUGGGCCCACGUGAAGAGCCAAACCUGCUCUGGAGGCAGUGCGGCCAGCGCUGCAGCUCUGGUGGCCGCUGCAGCGGUCUCGUCGAGUAAGCACGAUAACCCGGUCGAAGAGGAAUCAGUGGAUGUUGCGGAUUUGGACGGCGACGGCGUUGCCGCCGACGCAGCAUCGCCGGCGGCGCCAGGCCCGGCUGACCACACGGACAGCGCAGAUGGUGUCAACAUCCCUGACACGCCGCGAAGGAGCGGACCGGAGCGUAACAACAGUGGCAGCGUAUUCCUUGCCACAGCUCAUGCACCUCCACUAGCGGAAGCAGAUGCGAAAGCGGCUGCUCUGACGCGCUCAACGGAUGCAGAGGCACUGCUCCCCCUGGAAGAGUUCGAAGAGUUCGACAUUGACGGUCCUUUAAGUGAAAGCGUUACUGCAGAAGCACCUGCAGCAGCGGCUGUUCCAGCGUUGAACGAUGCCACACCCGAGGCUUUGAGCGCCGCAACAGCCAAAGGCGCAGAGUCCUGGGCAACAGAGCAUGCCGCGGCUGGAAGCGUGUCGGGUGAUGACGGCAUCUCUGCAGCUGAGGAGGCAGCGGGAGAAGAGUCAGCUAGUGCCCAUACCGGUGCGCCGGCUGCACUAGGCACCGCUGCCAAAUCCCUCACGGAGGUGCUGCAGGAGGAUGCAGCGGCGGGAGCAGCAGGCGAUGGCCCGGCGUUGACCGCCUCUGAAGGCGACAGUGCAGACACUGAAGUGGAGGGAAAAGACGCUGAAGAAGAUGCAGUAGCGGCCACAGCCGCCGAAAACAACUCGGACGCAGUGGCUUUCACCGUCGCUGCUGCCGCAACCCCCGUUUCACCGCCGAAGCCAUCUAUUUCCAUGCCGGUGUACACACAAGUUGUAUCACGGCUGUAUUACGGGGCGACGACGGUGUACCUCUCCGACCGCGCCUUUAUUGAACUGCCUGCCACCGCGAACGUGCUCGUGAUCGACCAUCUAGAUUGGGACGAUGCUCACCUGGCGGCGAUCGAUGCAGCGCUGGAGCAGGUUGACCCAGUCGCCGGGCACGUGCUGCUCUACCCCGAUGCCUAUGCACCGCAGAGCGAGCACGUGAUAGGGAACAUAAACGCAUACCGCCGCUCCCUCCUGCCCUUCAUCUUCGUCUUCCGCACCCAGCUCUCCAACGAGGCCGCGAUGGCCGUGCAGCACCGCCUCGCCAACGCCCUACAUGUGCGCCCCACGUUGGACAGCACCGCGCAGCAAUCGUUGGUGGCGGGGCAAAACGAUCGCACGUCUGUGUGUGUGCUGAGCGCCGCGGAGAGCGAGAAAGGAGGCGAGAACCCGAUGCUGGCACCGCAGCCGCGCAAGGCGACGCCGGCAUCACCGAAGCCUUCACCAGCGGAACCAGCUCCCGCGCGCACUGCCACGGCAACAAAGGUGGCGGGAGCACCCCGGCGCGCAGUCACUGCGCCGGUCGGCGAGAGCGGCACCGCCGCGACAGCCUCAGCACCGCCCUUACCUCGCACACCCCCAGCGGCGACGGAAGGGAAGCACAGGGAUGCUAGCACUCGCGGCGUGGCAGACGAUGCCGUGCAACAUCUGUGGGACCUUCUCAACAGCGUCUCCUUCGAUGCCUCCUCGAAGAAGUCGGCGGCGUCGGCAGCAGCGCUGAGCGCGCAAGUGGAGGUUCAGCGAAGCCACCAUGGCGGCUGCAACGGAAAUGGUAGGGCGGCGGCGGAAUGGCAGCAGCGAAUCUCCGCGCCAGGCGCCUCCUCUGUCCGGGGGAACGCUGAUCAAGCAGAGCCGGUUUACAGGUGUCCUGCAGAAACCACAACUAACAUACUGACUCGCACCAGCGACACCAGAGAGACCGGCAAUGGACACAUUACCGCGAGCACUGCUGUGGACGACGCUGCGCCCUCGCAGCCGUCUCGACUUGCAUACGCGCCGAGUCUUUUGAACUCGGAAGUCACCGCCCCGUUCCUCAACGCGAGCGCGAGAGCCGAUGCAGCCGGCGGCGCAGGCGCCGCGCACCGAACGCUUCCGGCGACGACGCUGCAGGCCGAGUCGGCCGAAGUAAACGAAAGCGCCGCCAUGAUCAAGGGCGGCCUCUUCAACUUCGGCGCCAUCGCUUUCGGCAGAGAUAAUGGGUACUGCGCCGCAGAGGUGCCGCGGCUUCGACGAGCCUCCGGUUCACGAUGGGGCAUGAACGAUGAUGACGACGACGUCGACAGCGAGCACAACGCAACAGACGCGGCAGACGGUGCAGCGACGAGCUCGACUUUCGGCAGUGUGAGUGAUUUGGGCCUGUACCCCGUAAGUGAGAGCGUGGCUGCCGCUCGUGCGGAAGCAGCGCGCAUCAGCAGCCAAUGCGGCGGCGGCAGUCCGUUCACUGAUGAAGAGAUCGCCAAGAUCGAAGAGGAGAUCAUACUCGCGCAGCUUAGGGAGAAGGAGAGGAAGGAGCGGCGCAGCGAGGCGCGUAGGGCGAUGCGGGCGAAGGCCAAGGAAGCCAAGUCACAGUUUUCCUGCAAGACCGCAUCAUCUUCGUCGCCUGUGUCGUCCGCGCCCUCCGCCACCAAGGGCUCGCGCUUAUGGAAGCAGCAGUUUCAGGGCAGUCGGAGCGUGUCCGACUCGUUCAAAACGACCGCCACAGCGCGGGAGCAGGAGCUUGCCGAGGACGGUCUUCUGGAGGACUUCAUCAGUAGCUUGCUUGUUAACCGCAACCGCAGCAAAAAGCUCAAGGCUGACAAGGUGAGGGUGUCCGUUGCGUCUGCAUCAUCUCGAGGAGUCGUGCGCUCUGCCCGCCGCACGCUAGCAACGGCGACAUCCUCGACCGGAAGAGGGAUCAAGCAGUAAAACCACGCGUACGCGUCCGUGUUGGCGUGUGCGAGUCUUAUCAUGCGUUUUUCGGACAGCAUCGAGUCAUAGAGUCGAAGAGUCUCCGCGGGUGGAGAAGGCGGGCUGACUUGUGUGUGUGUGUGUGUGUGCGCGCGUAUGUCGAUUGUUCCUCUCAAACCCG
rnacentral:misc_RNA from 1 species